GGGGAGAGUUUGAUCCUGGCUCAGGAUGAACGCUAGCGGCAGGCCUAAUACAUGCAAGUCAAGGGGUAGCAAUACACCGGCGGACGGGUGCGUAACGCGUACACAACGUACCUCAGAGCGGGGGAUAGCAUUGGGAAACUGAUGGUAACACCCCAUGGUGUUGUUGGAUGGCAUCAUUUAGCAACUAAAGUAUACACUCUGAGAUCGGUGUGCGUCUGAUUAGCUAGUUGGCGGGGUAACGGCCCACCAAGGCGACGAUCAGUAGGGGGUGUGAGAGCAUGACCCCCCACAUGGGUACUGAGACACGGACCCAACUCCUACGGGAGGCAGCAGUAAGGAAUAUUGGACAAUGGGCGCAAGCCUGAUCCAGCCAUGCCGCGUGAAGGAUGAAGGCGCUCAGCGUUGUAAACUUCUUUUGGACGGGAACAAUAUCCCUGGUGCGCCAGGGCUUGAGGGUACCGUCAGAAUAAGCACCGGCUAACUCCGUGCCAGCAGCCGCGGUAA
rnacentral:rRNA from 1 species